CCUACGGGUGGCAGCAGUGGGGAAUAUUGCACAAUGGGGGAAACCCUGAUGCAGCGACGCCGCGUGAGUGAAGAAGUCAUUCGUUAUGUAAAGCUCUAUCAGCAGGGAAGAAAAUUACGGUACCUGAGUAAGAAGCCCCGGCUAACUACGUGCCAGCAGCCGCGGUAAUACGUAGGGGGCAAGCGUUAUCCGGAUUUACUGGGUGUAAAGGGAGCGUAGACGGCAGAGCAAGUCUGAAGUGAAAGCCCGGGGCCCAACUGCGGGACUGCUUUGGAAACUGCCCGGCUAGAGUGCGGGAGAGGUAAGCGGAAUUCCUAGUGUAGCGGUGAAAUGCGUAGAUAUUAGGAGGAACACCAGUGGCGAAGGCGGCUUACUGGACAGUAACUGACGUUGAGGCUCGAAAGCGUGGGGAGCAAACAGGAUUAGAUACCCCAGUAGUC
rnacentral:rRNA from 1 species